rnacentral:rRNA from 1 species
UACGUAGGGCGCAAGCGUUGUCCGGAUUUACUGGGCGUAAAGAGCGCGCAGGCGGUCGUUCAAGUCGCGUGUGAAAGCCCCCGGCUCAACUGGGGAGGGUCACGCGAUACUGAUCGACUCGAAGGCAGGAGAGGGAAGUGGAAUUCCCGGUGUAGUGGUGAAAUGCGUAGAUAUCGGGAGGAACACCAGUGGCGAAGGCGACUUCCUGGCCUGUUCUUGACGCUGAGGCGCGAAAGCUAGGGGAGCAAACGGG